UUGAAGGUGGCCUGUGAGGGUUGCUGGAGGUAUCAGAAGUGCGAAUGCUGACAUAAGUAACGAUAAAGCGGGUGAAAAGCCCGCUCGCCGGAAGACCAAGGGUUCCUGUCCAACGUUAAUCGGGGCAGGGUGAGUCGACCCCUAAGGCGAGGCUGAAAAGCGUAGUCGAUGGGAAACAGGUUAAUAUUCCUGUACUUGGUGUUACUGCGAAGGGGGGACGGAGAAGGCUAGGCUGGCCGGGCGACGGUUGUCCCGGUUUAAGCGUGUAGGGGGUGUGACCUGGUAAAUCCGGUUGCAUAUCAACCCUGAGGCGUGAUGACGAUGCACUACGGUGCAGAAGUAGUUGAUGCCCUGCUUCCAGGAAAAUCCUCUAAGCUCCAGGUAACAUURAAUCGUACCCCAAACCGACACAGGUGGUCAGGUAGAGAAUACCAAGGCGCUUGAGAGAACUCGGGUGAAGGAACUAGGCAAAAUGGUGCCGUAACUUCGGGAGAAGGCACGCUGGCAUGUAGGUGAAGUCCCUCGCGGAUGGAGCUGAAGCCAGUCGAAGAUACCAGCUGGCUGCAACUGUUUAAUAAAAACACAGCACUGUGCAAACACGAAAGUGGACGUAUACGGUGUGACGCCUGCCCGGUGCUGGAAGGUUAAUUGAUGGGGUCAGCCGCAAGGCGAAGCUCUUGAUCGAAGCCCCAGUAAACGGCGGCCGUAACUAUAACGGUCCUAAGGUAGCGAAAUUCCUUGUCGGGUAAGUUCCGACCUGCACGAAUGGCGUA
rnacentral:rRNA from 1 species